rnacentral:lncRNA from 1 species
GAGGCAGUCCAGCCGCAGGGGCCACCCGAACAGUCUCUCCUCCUCACAGAAGCCUGCCUUCAUCUCCUCGUCCUCCAGGCAGCACAAGCCAUUGUGGAAUCUCCACCAGGUGUACAGAACGGUGCCUCUGCGUCCUGCCACUCAGGACCUCUCAAGUCCCCGAUGUGAUGGCUCCUCAGCAUGAUCAGGAACCAAAAAGAAGAAUGUACUUCAUCUGGUUGGGCUGGAUUCCCUCUGAUAAGCCUUCCCAGUUGACUGAAAGAUGAGGCUAGGCUCUAGCAAGUUGAAGUCAAACCAGCUCCUUCAAGAAGCUUUGAGCAGAAUGAAGUGGGGAGGACCCAGCUUCCAGCCCAGGAAGCCCACUGUACCUGGAGCCAUCUGGGAUAAGACUUUGACCCAUGACUCCCAUAUCCACAGCCUGUCCAUCCUAGCCCAUCCCAGUUUAUCCUGUAUCAUUUGAGCUGGGAUUCCCACAUCCUCUGAGUUGGAAGUCCCAUCUCAAGUCUUCAAUAAAGACUCUUGAAUAUUGAAUCACA